GCUUCAUCUCUUAAUGGAUAUGGUGUCCGCCUAGCGGCCGGAAGGUCAUGGGUUCGAUCCCCACUGUGGGAGCG
rnacentral:tRNA from 1 species